UCAAAGAUGAAGUGAAGAUAGGCUACAAAAUAGAAGAUCUGAUAGAAUACUUAUAAAAUAGGCUAAACUUGGGGAAGCAGUUGUGAUUGAAAGGAGAGAACUCCAUAGACAGUUGAAUCCCAACUGAUGUGGGUUAAUUUUUCGAUUAGAAACCGCUCCGCAGCAGCGAAAGUGGAAGCGAACACAGGGUGAGCAGCGAUUCAUGCUGAGGAAAUUUGGGCCCGAAUUAGGACAAACAAUAUGGGAAUCGAAGAGAAUGGAAG
rnacentral:lncRNA from 1 species